CCUUGAUAGGAACCCUUCUUUGUCUCUGCGUCUCCUUCCUUUCCUCGCAUUUCUCUUCAGGUUUGUGGUCCCCCUUGCACCCAGGAAGAACUGGGUCCUGCUGGGUGGGACAAGUGGCGCCUAACUGAGGUUCGGAGCGUUUUGCCUUAGGUGGAGAUUACGGAGUUUGACUCCCCCAGAGAAGUUCGUAGGGACCCCAAGAAAAAAGAAGUGAAGGACUGCUUCAGCAGCUCACCGGAGAGAGAAAUCCUUGAAAACUGAAAGCGCCUCGAAAGAAGCCACUCCUGAUCAUCGAGAUUUGGCUGUGUCUUUGCCUGAUGAGAAGCAAAUCGCCAGUGGUAGGCCAAGCUAAGAAAAGUCCUUAUCGACUCUAUAAUUAACCUGGCUAAUCAUUAACGAGGCCGGUGACAUAGUUAAUGCCACCUAAUUGAAGGUUCUAUCCCAUGGCCCAUCCUGAGGGUCGAUCUUUGUAAAUUAGUCCCAGGAGGUCACAGUGACUGGGGAACCCACUCAGUAUUCAUGACCCAAGAACAAGCUGUUGACAAUCCAAGACAAGUUACCUCUACGGCCCCUGGAUGUGCUAGCUUAAGUCGUAGGAGAGCACUCGCCAGUGUUUUAAGAAGCUAGGGCCUGUAUAUUUGUCCUGGCCCCAGUCACAGGAGCCCCACUCUUAAUUACAAAUGUGGUUUCGCCCCUGAUUAUUUCUGUGCUUCCUGGGGCUGUGAGACCACAGGAGACACCUACUGGAAACCCACCUCUAACUGGGACCUAAUAAAGGUCCAGAGCAGGCCCGAUCAUGCUGCCUGUGAUAGUUCCAACCAAACUUCCUGAGGAUGGUGCAACACCUUAGAGAUCUCCUUUACUGACUCAGGGAAAAAAAAUUUAAUUGGGAAAAUACACGAGGGGCUGAGUGGGGUUUACGCAUCUAUAGAGAAGAAAGAGAUUUCGGAGUGACUUUCAAAAUCCAGUUACUUAAGAACACCCCAUCCUUAGGGUGGGCCGCUAUAGGACCCAACCUUAGUCUGCAUCCCUCAUCACCAAAAAGACCAAGUCCCCCACAGGCUGUUACCCUGGGUCCACUUGGGACUACUACAUUCCAGCCUACUUUACCUGCUGGAUCUCUCUCCUCCUCAGAAUUGAUUUUAUCCUUGGUAAAUGCAUCAAUUGCUACCAUGCAUGCAGCUAAUGCUACUCAAUAUGAAGAAUGUUGGGUGUGCUUUUCUCCUCAACCUCCCUUUUACGAAGGGGUGGCAACAUUUGGAUCAAUUAUUGCAAUCAAUGAUUCCAGCAGACUUGGAUGGCACCCUGAGAACCAUGACGGGCUCACUCUGAGUCAGGUGUCCAGCCUAGGCUUAUGCCUUUUGGGGCCUUCCAUGCUUCCCCCUCAGGCCUUAUUAGAGGUUUGCAAUCAGACUUUUAUGGUAAAUGCCACCUCUCGAUACCUUGGGGCACCUAAUGGUACUUAUUUAGCAUGCUCUACUGGACUUACAACCUAUGUGGUUACCCAGACCUUUUUAGAUGACAGAGAUUAUUGUGUCUGGUUCAGCUUCUCCCAAAACUGACAGUGCACCAUGCAGAGGACCUCCUCCAAUUCUGGGAGAGAGGCACAGACCUACCCCGUGAUAAGAGAGAGCCUAUUUCUGCAGUGACCUUGGCAGUAAUCCUGGGCUUAGGAGCCGCAGGUGCAGGAAGUGGCAUUGCCUCUUUGGUCACCUCCCAAUAGCAAUACACUCAGCUUCACCUUGCUGUGGACAGAGAUAUACAAGAGCUACAAAGGGGCUUCAAAAAUGUAAAAGACUCCCUGGUCUCUCUGUCUGAGGUAGUAUUACAGAACAGGCAAGGCCUUGAUUUAGUGUUCCUAAAAGAGGGAGGGCUAUGUGCAGCCCUCAAAGAAGAAUGUUGUUUUUAUUGAUAGCAUAGACAAAGUUAGAACUAGUUUA